GGAGAGAUGGCUCAGUGGUUAAGAGCACUGGUUGUUCUUCCAGAGGUCCUGAGUUUGAUUCUCAGCCACCA
rnacentral:tRNA from 1 species